rnacentral:rRNA from 1 species
GAUGAACGCUGGCGGCGUGCCUAAUACAUGCAAGUCGAGCGAACGGACGAGAAGCUUGCUUCUCUGAUGUUAGCGGCGGACGGGUGAGUAACACGUGGAUAACCUACCUAUAAGACUGGGAUAACUUCGGGAAACCGGAGCUAAUACCGGAUGAUAUUUUGAACCGCAUGGUUCAAAAGUGAAAGACGGUCUUGCUGUCACUUAUAGAUGGAUCCGCGCUGCAUUAGCUAGUUGGUAAGGUAACGGCUUACCAAGGCAACGAUGCAUAGCCGACCUGAGAGGGGGGUCCGCCACACUGGAACUGAGACCCGGGCCAGACUCCUACGGGAGGCAGCAGUAGGGAAUCUUCCGGAAUGGGCGAAAGCCUGACGGAGCAACGCCGCGUGAGUGAUGAAGGUCUUCGGAUCGUAAAACUCUGUUAUUAGGGAAGAACAUAUGUGUAAGUAACUGUGCACAUCUUGACGGUACCUAAUCAGAAAGCCACGGCUAACUACGUG